rnacentral:sRNA from 1 species
GCAGAAGGAUAGGUUCCGAAGCCCGGUC